rnacentral:tRNA from 1 species
CUGGGUGGUAGCUAAAUGAAAAGGCGUUUGGCCGUUAACCAAAAGAUAGUAGGAUAAAAACCUACCCGUCCAGG